rnacentral:rRNA from 1 species
GAUGAACGCUGGCGGCGUGCCUAAUACAUGCAAGUCGAGCGAACAGACGAGGAGCUUGCUCCUCUGACGUUAGCGGCGGACGGGGGAGUAACACGUGGAUAACCUACCUAUAAGACUGGGAUAAAUUCGGGAAACCGGAGCUAAUACCGGAUAAUAUAUUUAACCGCAUGGUUCAAUAGUGAAAGACGGUUUUGCUGUCACUUAUAGAUGGAUCCGCGCCGCAUUAGCUAGUUGGUAAGGUAACGGCUUACCAAGGCAACGAUGCGUAGCCGACCUGAGAGGGUGAUCGGCCACACUGGAACUGAGACACGGUCCAGACUCCUACGGGAGGCAGCAGUAGGGAAUCUUCCGCAAUGGGCGAAAGCUUGACGGAGCAACGCCGCGUGAGUGAUGAAGGUCUUCGGAUCGUAAAACUCUGUUACUAGGGAAGAACAAAUGUGUAAGUAACUAUGCACGUCUUGACGGUACCUAAUCAGAAAGCCACGGCUAACUACGUG